ensembl:lncRNA
AAAAACCCUGGCCUUGAGAGGUGACAAAACCCUGGCCUUGAGAGGUGACAAAACCCUGGCCUUGAGAGGUGACAAAACCCUGGCCUUGUGAGGCGACAAAACCCUGGCCUUGAGAGGCAACAAAACCCUGGCCUUGAGGCGACAAAACCCUGGCCUUGAGGCGACAAAUCCCUGGCCUUGAGGCGACAAAUCCCUGGCCUUGAGAGGAGACAAAACCCUGGCCUUGAGGCGACAAAACCCUGGCCUUCAGAGGCAACAAAACCCUGGCCUUGAGAGGCGACAAAACCCUGGCCUUGAGAGGCGACAAAACCCUGGCCUUGAGAGGCUACAAAACCCUGGCCUUGAGAGGCUACAAAACUCUUGCCUUGAGAGGAGACAAAACCCUGGCCUUGAGAGGAGACAAAACCCUGGCCUUGCGAG